UCCAUGUUACUUUUCUCUAGGAGUCCUAAUUGGAACUAGUGUUUCAUAUUGUGACAGUUAACCUAACUUAUCACGUGUUUAUAGAUAAUCUCAAAAGCACAUUUCUUGAAAAUAUUUGCGAUACUUAUUUUUGAAGUUUUCAUAGUCGUAAUAAUAAUGUACUUUACAUAUUGUAUUAGUCAGAUUCAUGGAUUCCAGUAUCGAUUUUUCCUCGUUUGUACUUAUGGCAUUAUAUUAUGAGAGGAUGCUAAUUUAGUUUUGAAUUUUUUUUCCAAAAUUUGUGGAGGAAUACAUUGAGAAUUCAAUUCGUAUUCGGUUUCUUUAUGUGCAAGGACUUUUAAUUUUGUAGACAAUUCGUUAGGUAAAUUUGAAGAUUAUACACAUAAAGUUAAUGUUGUUAUUUUCUCACCUAUUAU